CCUACGGGUCGCACCAGUGGGGAAUUUUGGACAAUGGGCGAAAGCCUGAUCCAGCAAUGCCGCGUGCAGGAUGAAGGCCCUCGGGUUGUAAACUGCUUUUGUACGGAACGAAAAGACUCUCUCUAAUAAAGGGGGUUGAUGACGGUACCGUAAGAAUAAGCACCGGCUAACUACGUGCCAGCAGCCGCGGUAAUACGUAGGGUGCGAGCGUUAAUCGGAAUUUCUGGGCGUAAAGCGUGCGCAGGCGGUUAUGUAAGACAGAGGUGAAAUCCCCGGGCUCAACCUGGGAACGGCCUUUGUGACUGCAUGGCUAGAGUGCGGCAGAGGGGGAUGGAAUUCCGCGUGUAGCAGUGAAAUGCGUAGAUAUGCGGAGGAACACCGAUGGCGAAGGCAAUCCCCUGGGCCAGCACUGACGCUCAUGCACGAAAGCGUGGGGAGCAAACAGGAUUAGAUACCCUUGUAGUC
rnacentral:rRNA from 1 species